rnacentral:rRNA from 1 species
UACGGAGGAUGCAAGCGUUAUCCGGAUUCAUUGGGUUUAAAGGGUGCGUAGGCGGAUAUGUAAGUCAGGGGUGAAAUCCGGCAGCUCAACUGUCGAACUGCCUCUGAUACUGCAUGUCUGGAGUUGGCGUGAGGCAGGCGGAAUAUGACAUGUAGCGGUGAAAUGCAUAGAUAUGUCAUAGAACACCGAUAGCGAAGGCAGCCUGCCAAAGCCAUACUGACGCUGAUGCACGAAAGCGUGGGUAGCGAAC